UGUUGGAGUGCUUUAAAGAUCUCAUGUGAGCAAUCUGUUCCAAUAGGCCACUGAGUGCCGAAGAUGGAUUGACACAAGGGAUCGGGCGCCAAAUCUGUUGCUGGCCACAGUCCAAGAUGCAGCGAUCUCGAGGUUAGCCAAGGCAGCUAGUCCCUGUUUUGGGCCUGAUAUUCAAAUCUUACCACAUUAGUAGCCUUACAAGAUAGAUCAAUAGCCUUGCUCUGCUGUCCAUGCUAUUUUCUAGCACUCUCGAGUUUCCCACAUGUGCACUAUUAUUUACCUGCACUUGGUCGCCUCAAUUCAUGGAUUCUCACCCGCAGGUAUGACGCAUCCUUACAGCAGUACUGCUCUUACGGUCGUUGGAGCGCUUCUCAUGAUCAUCUCAUGCACAGCGCUCUGCUCAGGUGCGCCCUGCCCUUCAACAGAUGCACGAGGAUGCCUCAUUCAAGGAAGUCAUUUUAAACCUCGUGAGACCACAAGCAAGAUAAUUUUUAUUCCAAACAGGCGCAGAGGAGAGCAGCGGCAACUUUCUGCAGCCCAUGCCUUGGGUACUAGAAAUGUCCGUGAAUCCCAGCCGGGACUUGCGCGACAGGAGCUGUGAGCCAUGCGACGAUCUGAACCCUCUGGGAGCCAUGUGCUG
rnacentral:lncRNA from 1 species